UGGUGACUGCCUUUGAAUCGUGUCCUGGCUUUCUUAGGCUACUCACCAGCUUCCUUGUCUCUGGUUGUUAAGGCAAGUGCUCCAUACUCUGGCUCUGAAGAAACAGAAUUGAAAGCGUUUCAGAUUUUUUUUUUAAGUCUUCAAAGCUGCCAGCAGCAGCCUGGGAUUUUCUCCACUUGGGUCCAAAACCUCAGCAGUGCCCUAGGAGGUUUCUCUCUUUGGGGCCCGAGGCUAGCUCAGACCUGAUAUUGAGAAGCAAGAGUAGCUAGAGAGGCAGGGCAGCUUUUGGGACUCAUAUUCCUGCCAUAACCCAGUUCUUGCUGUUAGUUUCAGGCAAGGUCAUGGAAAUUUGCAAGUGUUCCAGUCUCCAUUCACAGGGACUCUCAGAUGGCAUAGCAGCCCAGCUGAUGAGCACCAGCCUCUUGGGCUCACACAAGUCAGUUGAAUCCUAUACAUCCUUCACGGGUUGCUCUUCUACCAUCUGGAAGCUAUUAGCAGUGAAGUGGUUUCAAGCUCUUGCUGAGUCCUGGUUUUCCGGGAGGCUUAAUCCAGGAUUGCCAGGUCUAAGCAACCAAGGGCCUUCAUCUUGGAGGAUUUCCAUUUGAGACCUAGCAUAGUUCUGUCCUCCCAGACCACCACCUAGGCCUCUUCUCUUGUUGAACCCCAGGAGCAAUGACACUGACACUUUUCCCUGAUCCGUGACUUAUCUCCUUUAUGGGUUUGAUGGGAAAUGACCACUUUAAAGCUCCUCGGGGAAGGGGGUACAUUUAUAUCUGUGCUGUAGGUAUUAGAAGGCCAGGAAUUAGCUCAGGAGAGUUGUGUAAAGGGGACAGGACUGCUGCUUUUAGAUCUCUAAAUUCAUUUCAGUGACCAUAUUACCACAUUGCUCUGCCUUUGCUGAGUUUCUUCCCCUGGUCCUUAUGAUAAAUAAUCCUGCAGAUGUAGGCACUGUGGUUUAGAGGCCCAAGCAACUACUAAAGGAGAUUCUGGGUUCUAACUGAGGUCUUUGUAAUUCCAAAGUUCUUUCUGUUUCUCCUAUGUCCCUGCUGAAACCUGGGAAGAGUAGACAACCAGAACAGAGGAGCAGCCAAGGAACCAGCAUUUGCAUGCUAGAUUUUUUUUUUCAAAUGAAGCAAAAUGAUCGUUUGAAAGGAAACUCAUACAGUCUGUCAGCUUCUUGCCAACUUUUACUACAGUGCAACUGGCCAAAACCAGCCAAGCCUUGUUUGGCGUAUGAAAGCAGCUGUUAAAAUAAACCUCGCUCUGCUUCUUUCCUGUUAUGAUGGAAUGACUGUUUCAAGUAAACGUCUCCAAUCCACAGAUUUUCUGGGGUCAAGAAAACAUUUUUUUUAAUUGGCAGUCUUGAUUACAUUUUUUGGACAAGUUAGGAAGUAAACAGAAUGGCACCUAUCAUUUCAGAUUCAAGCAGGUCUGUAAGUCAGUGCCGGAUCCGUUCUGGCCACUUCAAUCCCCACCUCCCACUUUGUUGUUAUACCCCAGGACUUCCAAAAUAGAGUUUAGAGAAUGAGCACACAAAUCAUGGGAUCAGAUCAUGGGUUGGAAUCUAGAAACCUUAAAUGUGGCUCUCAAAUAAUUUACUCUGGGCCUCAGUCUCCUAAUCUAUCAGAUGGUUGUAAUAAUAACUACCCAUUGGACUUAUCACAAAGUUUAAAACAAAA
rnacentral:lncRNA from 1 species